GUUACACAAUUGCUAUAAAGCAUUAGAGUAUGUCGUACAAUUAGUUUUUUUAAUGUUAACUAACUAAUGCACUUGUGGAUGUUGCUGUGGCAUUCAGAGAUUCUUUGUAUUUAGAUGCACAGCAAAAAUAAAGAAUAGAAAAAUAGUAAAAGCAAACAAAUCUUGAAUCCCCACACCUCCUGUGGUUUAUUCAUAUGAGGAUAUGGAAAUUACUCUUCAACUUGUCUUAAAUCCAUGACUGCAUUUAGG